GGGUGUGAUCAUACCAGCAUUAAUGCACCGAAUCCCAUCAGAACUCCGUAGUUAAGCACGCUUGGGAUAGAGUAGUAUUGGGAUGGGUGACCUUCCGAAAAGUCCUAGUGUUGCACCCU
rnacentral:rRNA from 1 species